UACGAGGGGGGCAAGCGUUGUUCGGAAUUAUUGGGCGUAAAGGGUGCGUAGGCGGUCUGAUAAGUCAUCUGUGAAAUCUAUGGGCUCAACCCAUAGUCUGCAGGCGAAACUGUCGGGCUUGAGUAUGGAAGAGGUGAGUGGAAUUUCCGGUGUAGCGGUGAAAUGCGUAGAUAUCGGAAGGAACACCUGUGGCGAAAGCGGCUCACUGGACCAUUACUGACGCUGAUGCACGAAAGCUAGGGGAGCAAACAGG
rnacentral:rRNA from 1 species